UGUCAGAAUUCAUUUAGAAUUCUGUCGGAAUGUUCUAGCAGAAAAAAAAAUUCGCCUUCCCGGUUGUGGCGAACUCGAUUGCUGCCAAAUCCGCGUUUUUGUCGACGAUCUUUCUUUCUUUCGUAGACUUUGCUAGAGAAGGACGUUCUCAUAAUUAUUCAGGAAUCAGAUCGCAGGAGUGCUUCCGCCUACAGAGUGAUGGACCGACUCGCAACACCAGCUCGGAGAUCAACGAAUCUAUACUUCGUUCCUUGCCAGUUUCGCGAAGGAAAAAUUACUGUUCCAAGAUGAUUGUAGAAAUUCCUGGCGCAGAAUUAGUUUGCUGGAGACCAAAUUGGAUGACUCACG